UUCAUCAACUCCGGAAUAAAA
ensembl:piRNA 21ur-10286 ncRNA